rnacentral:rRNA from 1 species
UUUAAAGUCUAACCUGCCCAAUGAGGAGUUAAAUGGCCGCGGUAAUUUGACCGUGCAAAGGUAGCAUAAUCAUUAGUUUUUUAAUUGAAAGCUGGAAUGAACGGUUGGACGAGAAAAUAACUGUCUCAAUUUAAAUGUAUGUAGAAUUUUAUCUAUAAGUAAAAAAGCUUAUAUAAUUUUAAAAGACGAGAAGACCCUAUAGAAUUUUAUAUUUUACUAUAUAGGGUAUGUUUAGUAUGGAAAUACUUAAAUAUAGUGACAUAUUUUACUGGGGCAGUAGAAAAAUUAAAUAAACUUUUUUUGUUUUAUAACAUUGAUUUAUGAAUAAUUGAUCCAUUAUUAAUGAUUACAAGAUUAAAUUACCUUAGGGAUAACAGCGUAAUUUUUUUUUAGAGUUCUUAUCGAAAAAAGAGUUUGCGACCUCGAUGUUGGAUUAAAAUUAACUUUUGGUGCAGGGGCUAAAAGGUUGGGUCUGUUCGACCUUUAAAAUUUUACAUGAUCUGAGUUUAAACCGGCGUGAGCCAGGUUGGUUUCUAUCUUUAAAUAAAGUGGAUAUCUUAGUACGAAAGGAUUAGAUAUUUUUAAAAUUUAAUAUAUUAUGAAUAUGAUUA